rnacentral:rRNA from 1 species
UACGUAGGGCGCAAGCGUUGUCCGGAAUUAUUGGGCGUAAAGAGCUCGUAGGCGGUCUGUCGCGUCCGUUGUGAAAACUCGAGGCUCAACCUCGGGCUUGCAGUGGAUACGGGCAGACUAGAGUGCGGUAGGGGAGACUGGAAUUCCUGGUGUAGCGGUGGAAUGCGCAGAGUAUCAGGAGGAACACCGAUGGCGAAGGCAGGAUCUCUGGGCCGCA